CUCGCGCGGCGCGGCGGCCAAUGCGGGGCGGUGCCGCCGUCGGCCGCGCCCCGCCCCGUCUCGGUGUGUGAGCCUCUCGGUAAGGCGGCGGUCACGUGUUGUUUUGCUCUUUAGUUGGGGCACUCGGUGCGCGAUGUGUUACUUACGGCGAAACUCCCGCCGGCGCCGGCAGCAGCCGCGGCGGCACCGCCACCACCGCCACCAGCAGCAGCAGCAGCAGCAGCGGCCGGGCAGCAGCGGCGCCGCCGGUACCCGAACCGGGGAGGACGCCGGGCGGCCGCCGGCAGCACCCGCUGCCUAGAGGCGACGGCGAGGACCCCGACUGCGGCUCCGGGCAGCCGCGCUCUUCCCGCGGAGGAAUAACUUUAUUUCACCCGCUUCCCCCCGUCCCUCUUUUUCUUUUUAAAUUUUUAUUUCCCCCCCGCGGCGCUCGGCCCCCAGCCCCGCUCGGCGGCGGCGGCGGCGGCGGCAGCGAGAGGAGCCGGGCGGCGCUCCCGCCGCGGGGCCGGGGAUGGCGAGCCCCGCCGUGCUGGGGCUGCUGCCCCCCCUGAGCUCCCCGCCGGGCCCCAACCUGAACAACAACAACAACAACAACCAGGGCGUGAGGAAGUGCGGGUACCUGCGCAAGCAGAAGCACGGCCACAAGCGUUUCUUCGUGCUGCGGGGCCCGGGCGGCGGGGAGGAGGCGGGGGGCGCCCGGCUGGAGUACUACGAGAGCGAGAAGAAAUGGAGGAACAAGUCCGGGGCGCCCAAGCGGGUGAUCGCCCUGGACUCCUGCCUCAACAUCAACAAGCGGGCGGACGCCAAGCACAAGUACCUCAUCGCCCUCUACACCAAGGACGAGUACUUCGCCGUGGCGGCCGAGAACGAGCAGGAGCAGGAGGGCUGGUACCGGGCUCUCACCGACCUGCUGAACGAGGGCAAGGCGGCCUGCCAGGGGUCCCCCCACCGCCACCUCGCCUCCCCCUUCUCCGCCUCCUGCAGCGCCGCCGCCUCCCUGGCCGCCGCCGGCGAGGACCUCAACUACGGGCUCAUCACCCCGGCCGCCGCUGCCUACCGGGAGGUCUGGCAGGUGACGCUGAAGCCCAAGGGCUUGGGGCAGAGCAAAAACCUCACCGGCGUCCACCGGCUCUGCCUGUCGGCCCGCACCAUCGCCUUCGUCCGCCUCAACUGCGAGCUGCCCUCGGUCACGCUGCAGCUGAUGAACAUCCGCCGCUGCGGCCACUCCGACAGCUUCUUCUUCAUCGAGGUGGGGCGCUCGGCGGCCACCGGCCCCGGCGAGCUCUGGAUGCAGGCGGACGACUCGGUGGUGGCCCAGAACAUCCACGAGACCAUCCUGGAGGCCAUGAAGGCGCUGAAGGAGCUGUCCGAGUUCCGGCCCCGCAGCAAGAGCCAGUCCUCCUCCUCCUCCUCCGGGGGGGCCGCCGGCGCCGGCGGCAGCGGCGCCUCCGCCACCCACCCCAUCACCGUGCCCGGCCGCCGGCACCACCACCUGGUCAACCUGCCUCCCAGCCAGACCGGCCUCCUCCGCCGCUCCCGCACCGACAGCCUCGCCGCCGGCGCCGGCACCAAGUGCACGCCGUGCCGGGUGCGGACGGCCAGCGAGGGCGACGGCUGCCGGGUGGGCUCGGCGGCCGGCAGCCCCAUGAGCCCGGGGCCCGUGCGGACCCCCCUCAGCCGCUCGCAUACGCUUAGCAGCGGCGGCGGGGGCCGGCAGGCGGGCGGGAAGCUGCUGCCGGUGCUGGCCGGCGGCGGCCUGCCGAGCAGCCGCUCCAUGUCCAUGCCCGCCUCCCACUCGCCCCCCUCCGCCACCAGCCCCAUCAGCCUCUCCUCCAGCAGCGGCCUCGGCUCCGAGCCUGCCCACCCGCACCACCCGCAGCGCCCGUCCAGCGGCAGCGCCUCCGUCUCCGGCUCGCCCAGCGACGCCGGCUUCAUGUCCUUCGACGAGUACGGCUCCAGCCCGGGCGGCGACCUGCGGCCCUUCUCCUCCUCCUCCACCGCCAGCAACCGCAGCAACACCCCGGAGUCGGUGGCCGAGACACCCCCGGUGCGGGACCCCGGGGGCGGCACCGACCUCUACGGCUACAUGGCGAUGGAGCGGCCCCCGAGCGGCCGCCUCUGCUACCGGCCCUGCCCCGAGGCCGCCGCGGCCGACAGGGGCCAUCGGAAGCGGACCUACUCGCUGACCACCCCGUGCCGGCAGCGGCCCGCCCCGCCGCACGUCUCCUCCGCCUCCCUCGACGAGUACACGCUGAUGCGCGCCACCUUCGCCGGCAGCGCCGGCCGCCUCUUCCCCUCCUGCCACGCCGGGGCUUCCCCCAAAGUCACCUACACCCCCUACCCCGAGGACUACGGGGACAUCGAGAUCGGCUCCCACCGCAGCUCCGGCGGCAGCAGCACCAACCUGGGGCCUCCGCCGGCGGGGGGGCCAGGAGGAGGAGGAGGAGGAGGAGGAGGGGGAGAGGAUGACGGCUACAUGCCCAUGACCCCCGGCGUGGCCUCAGCCUUAGGGCAGGGCAGCCGGGGCGGCGAUGACUACAUGCCCAUGAGCCCCACCAGCGUGUCCGCCCCCAAGCAGAUCCUGCAGCCCCGGGCGGGGGUGGGUGGCGGGUCCCCCGGGAACGGGAGCAGCUACAAGACCAGCUCGCCUGGGGAGAGCUCCCCCGAUGAUAGCGGGUACAUGCGGAUGUGGUGCGGCUCCAAGCUCUCCGUGGAGAGCUCGGACUCUGGGAGGCUGGCUAACGGCGACUAUAUCAAUAUGUCCCCUCGGGACCCCCAGCAUGGGCCCCAGGCUCCCUCCCUCACCCCCCCCGACUUCUUCUUUGCCCCUUCGGGGCACGGGUCCAGCGAGCCCCCCAAGCCCGGCUGCUAUUCGUACAGCUCCUUACCCCGCUCUUACAAGAGCCAGGGCCUGGCAAAGGACAGUGACCAGUACGUCUUCAUGAACUCCCCGGGGAGGAUGAUCCCGGAGGAGGCAGCGUGCGGAGCGGGUCAGUCCCCCGCCAGCACCUUCGCCCCUUCCAGCCACACGGUGCCUUCGCCCCUGCGGCACAGCCGGACCGAGAGCUUCCUGAGCCAGCGGUGCCAGCGGGCGGCCCGGCCCAGCCGCCUCUCUCUGGAGACCUUGCGGACGAUGCUGCCCAGCAUGAAUGAGCACCCUCUGCCGCCCGAGCCCAAGAGCCCUGGUGAAUAUAUCAACAUCGACUUCGGAGAUGCUGCUGUCUAUUCUCCCCCCUCGCUGCCUGCCGACAGCCCGGCCUCCUCCCUGGGCUCGGGCACGGGGCAGAGGCGUUCCCCUCUCUCUGACUACAUGAACAUUGACUUUGGGUCGCAGUCGCCCUCCCAGUCGGGCACGGUCUCAGUGGGCUCCCUGGAAGCGCUCUCCCCAGGCUCUUCCUCCAGCACCAGCCAGCCCGACGGGCGCUACCUGAAGGCAGCUGGGGGGGUGGCUUGUUCGUCCAGCCCGUCUGACGGCGGGGAUUACACCGAGAUGACCUUUGGCAUGGCCACCACCCCACCCCAACCCAUCACUCAGAAGCCGGAAAGUGCUCGGGUCACCAGCCCCACGGCUGGGGUGAAGAGGCUCACCCUCUCUGGGGUGGAGGCUUUCAUUCUCUCCAGCCCUCCCCCAGAUCCCAACCGGGGGGCCAAGGUCAUCCGGGCGGAUCCCCAGGGGCGCAGGAGGCACAGCUCGGAAACCUUCUCCUCCACCACCACUGUGACCCCCGUGUCCCCCUCCUUCGCGCACAAUCCCAAACGGCACAACUCGGCCUCGGUGGAGAACGUGUCCCUCAGGAAAAGCGAAGGCCUGGAGGAGGAGCAGGGUAGCAGCCCCAUGUGCCGGGAGACCUCGGCUGGCUUCCAGAACGGCCUCAACUACAUCGCCAUCGACGUGGUGGACGGCACCCUGGCAAACUGUGACAAAGCCAGGUCGAAAGCCAGGCACGUCCUGAAUGGGGGCAUCAACGGAGUGGAGAUGAGCGCCUACGCCAGCAUAGACUUUCUGUCUCACAACCUGAAGGAAGCGAGUGCUGUGAAAGGAAGUACAGGAAGAUGGAAAAGAUGAGAGCUCCACCGUUUGCAGAGCAAGCUUUGAACCUAAUUAAGACGAGAGGAUUGUUGAAUGAAAUGUCAGAGUUUGAAAGGACGGACGCGUAUUCUGAAUGACUGCAAGGGUUGAGGGCAGAGCGUUAUUUGUCUGUCGCUUCUGCUGUUGCUGGGGUCGUUUCCAGGACCCCGGUGGCCCGUCCCGGGUGCUGCGGUUCCCGCCCUCUGUGCCCCUCCCUCCCGGGCACCAGCAAACCAUCGCCCCCCUUGCUUUGCAAACUGGUUUUGUGUUUGGGGUUUUUGUGUUUGUUAGGUUUUUUUUUAAUUAUUUUGCUGCCUUUUUUUUUUUUUUUUUUUUUACAAAAACGAGUAGUUUUUCUUAAGCCACCUACGGCCCCAACUGCAAACCAAGCCCCAUGUUGGGAAAGAGCUAUUUCCACAGCAUUCCCCAAACUGCUGACCCUAAAGGGAGGGGAGGGUGGCAGGGGGAGGGGAGCGGGCACCAGUUACCAGGAAAACCUGGAGUGGAUGGGAGCGCGGUCACCAUCCCGGCGAAGAGCCGAGUGAAGGAGUCAGUUUUCUCACCAUGACCUCAAACAACAGAGUACAACAUUCAAAGAAGCUGCUCAGCAUAUACCUUUUUUUGGUUGGUUGAUUUGGUUUGUUUUGGUUUUGGGGGGGGGUUUGUUUUUGUUUUUUUUCUUUUUGUAACUGAAGCUGCUUAAGGUUUACUUUUUGUUGUUGUUAUUGUUGGUCCGGACAGUUACUUAACUGUUGUGGACUAAACUGUGCAACAAAUCUGGGAGGAAGGGAAAGCAACCUGCCUAACUCGUUAUCUGUCCAUGGCAUCUACGGUAUCACUUUGCUGCUGUUUUGACAGAAGUUGGAGAUGCUCUUUAGAUCGUAGGAACUUUUCUGCCGGCCUCUUUAACUAACGGCCAAUGCCUUCAUUUCCUUUUUCUGCAAAGACAAACUGCAUAUUUAUUCUUCGGCAUAUUAGGGGAUUCUGUAACACCUGCUGAAGCAGUAAGAUCUGGUAUUUACUGGCAUAAUUUCAAGCCUACCACAGUACUACCUCAGUUCAAAGUAAAGCCGGAUUUACGGUGUUGGUGUACGACAGGACCUCCUUUAUCUCUAUGCUGAGUCUCUCUCAAGAACGGUCGUCAGCCUUACUGAACUUGCAACGCGUACAGCUGCUGCUGCUGGGUUGUGAAUCACUAGCCGCAGGGUUUACUUCUCAGACAAAGCCGAACCAGGGCACUGAAAAAUCUGAAAUGGGAGGAAACUCUGAAUUGGACUUGGAUGGAGGAUUCAGAGUAGUUAAAAAAAAAAAAAAAGUAUAAAAACGUGUAACUGAGCAACGUAAGUUAAAAACAUCAAACUGUAUUGGGGGUAUCUCUCUUUACCUUUGACACACUUGUUUAAUCCUCUCUAUGUAGGUGUUUAUGUAGGUACUUCAGAUUGCAAAAGCCUUUUCUCCUAUUUACAAGCUCACUUUUGUCAGCUAACCCGGUUCUUAGCUGCGUUUCUUGUAACCAAAAAUCCACAUAGGCAUGCUAGGAAUGCAGGGAUGAUAAUGGGUAUCAGGCAGAUUCAAGCGCUAAUAUUACACAGUAUUAUCGGGCCAUCUAGAAAGUCCUGAUGUUUGCCUUUUUACCAGGAAAGCACCAUUGCAGCUGCAGGCAUUAUUACAGGGAAGAACCACCAUUGCAGUCACUUAGCCUGAGUUCUUGUCAAGGCUACCCGUGCAUCGCAUUUCCAGUAGCCUGAAAAUCCAAGUGGUGUGGCGGCUGCCGUCACAAAUGUCACAUACAGCUGUUGCACCAGACUAGCAGAAUGUCAUGCCACCGUGUUUCUCCUUCAGUAAUUUGUUGAAGAGUUCAUAUACAUUUUAAGGGUACCUCCCCAGUGCCUGCUCUGAUAGACAUGUAAGUAUUACUAAGUUGAGUUACCUGAGACUUUUUUUUCUUUUUUUGAAUCAUUGUGCUAGGUGGAACCUGUACUUCACUAUUAACAAUGCAUUAUCUUUUGGGAUUUUUUUUUCUGAGGAAGACGAGAGUCAAUGUCUUACAAAUAUAAUGAAUGGCAAUGCAGUCUUCCUGCUUACAUGCUGAAUUUUUAGAACUGAGGAUUGUAUUACAAGACAAAGAUGAAUGUAAACUAAUUCCUUCCCUACCCCAUGACACGCUAUACUUUUCAGUGUAAUUUUUGGGGUCUUAAAUCACAGCAAUGCAUAGGCUAAUACAAUAUUAGAUCUAAAAUCAAUUUAAAUAUCUAAUCUGUCUGAGGUUUUUUUAAAAUAAUAAUACUAUAAAUGGUUCUAAGACAUUCUAAAAUGCUGCUUGUUCAAGUCUGGAACUAAAAAAAAAAAAUAAAUACCUUUGACAUUUUCUGUCUGAACCCCCGCACAGCACUGAGUGUGGUACCUGCUGAAUUCGAUGUUUUGAACUUCUAUUUUGAAGUAGCCCUCUGUACCAAUUAAGAAAUCAUGCCACUAAAACAAAAGGCUAAAAUGCAUACAGCAACUUCAAAACAAGAAAAUUGACAGUAUAGUCAAUUCUUCUCUAUCCUGUAUAUUUCACAAAGGCAUAUGCAAUACUUAUAUUCUUAAUUUAGUUUACAGAAUGGAACCAAAAUGUAUAAAUGUUAUGUUUGCUAAAACUUCACAAUGUAUAUUGGGUCUUUGUACAUUUUGCCUGACUUACCUUAAAUUUAAAAUAUUUUUUGCUAUGUAACCUUAACAGUUAUUAAGCAGUGUUUUCUUUCUGGGUACGUAUUGUUUCUGGAUAUCAAGAUGUUAAAUAUAUUUCUUGCUAUUGUGAUAUGACAAGAGACUUAACUUAUCUUGCUGUGUCUUCCAAUGUACACGCUGUAUAUAAGGAUAAAUGUGAUGCUGCUGGAGACCAGAAUAAAUGGAACUAGAGUAGUGUAUUGUAUUUAGUCUGUAUUGAUCAUGGAUGCUCUCCUUAAUAGCCAUAUGCAAUAAAAUACAUUAUUUAUGAAA